CCUCGUUGAUCUGCUGCGGACAGAUCCAGUGGAUGUGGGCAUCAAUGCCGCCGGCGGUGAGAAUCCGCCCCUCGCCGGCGAUGGCCUCCGUGCCCGGGCCAAUGAUGAUGUCGACGCCCGGCUGAACGUCGGGGUUGCCGGCCUUGCCGAUGGCGGCGAUCCGACCAUCCUUCAGCCCGACGUCCGCCUUGAGAAUACCGGCAUGGUCGACGAUCAGGGCAUUGGUGAUGACGGUGUCGACGGCCCCGGCGGCACGCGCGGUCUGGGACUGCCCCAUGCCGUCGCGGAUG
rnacentral:sRNA from 1 species